CUUUCCCAUAGGCAGAGGAUGGCAGUCAUUUCAGUAUCCACGGUGUGACAUGCAUUUACAAUUCCCUUGCAUCAGCCCUCCUAAGGGCUGACAGGUAGGUGCAGGAGAAUUGCAAAGGCAAUGUCAAGGUUUCAUUUAACUUGAAUGAUGCCUAAAUACCAUCAAAUGUAGCUGCUGGUCCCAAAGUCAAAGCACUCACCCAGCAAGACGUGGCUGUUGAACAGGGCAUGCUCCUGAAGGAAUCUCUUGGGCUGGGCCACACCUGCACUGUACUGUGGAGAAGGCAGAAGAUUGCAUGGAUAGCAGCUGGGAGGAGGGAUGCUUGGGCAGAAAGUCUAGUCCUGCAUGUAUAAGAAAAAACAGCUGCAAUCUGGCUCAAAAUUUCUGUAUUCUGUCCUUAAAUUUUGAGGUGUUCCAGGAUGAUGAAACAUGGUUUCUAAUCAGAAAUUAUCCAAACAGUCAAUGA
rnacentral:lncRNA from 1 species